rnacentral:rRNA from 1 species
AUGGCUAUGCAGCUGCACGCCGCGUCCCCGGACUCCGAAUACUACGUUGCCAAGUCCCCGCCGCCCCCACCGCCUUUCUCCCCACAACCGGAGCCGGCCCCGGCAGCCGUCAAGCCCAAGUCGCCGCACGCCUCGCUGGGCGGCGGCCCAAGGGCGCCCGUUGCCACGGCGACGACGCCCCUGACGCCUAGCAGGGACAGGGCGCGCCAGGAGCACAACGACGGCGGCGGCGACCAGGCGCAGUUGCUCAAUGGGAUCGUCCUCGUGCUGCGCGCCGGCGCCGCGCUGCUGUCCUUCGUGGCCAUGGCGCUCGUCGCGUCCUGCCGCCACGGGGACUGGAUGGACUUCAUCCGCUACCAGGAGUACAGGUAUCUUCUCGGGGUGUCCGUGGUCGCGUUCGUGUACUCUGCGGCGCAGGCGUUGAAGAACUUCGGCCGGAUGCGCCGCGGCGACGCCCACGCGAGCUUCCUUGAUUUCGCCGGCGAUCAGGCGGUGGCGUAUCUGCUGGUCACGGCGUCGGCGGCGGCUCUCCCUAUCACGAUCCGCAUGAGGUCGGCGGUGGUCAACGUCUUCACGGACGCCAUCGCCACGUCCAUCGUCCUGGGCUUCCUCGCCUUCGCGGCGCUCGCCCUGUCCGCCAUGCUCUCCAGACAGGCGUAA